rnacentral:rRNA from 1 species
CGUGUAGGCGGAUCGGUAAGUCUACUCUGAAAGCUCCUGGCUAAACUGGGAGAGGCGAGUGGAGACUGUCGGUCUAGAGUGAGGAAGAGGAAAGUGGAAUUCCGCGUGUAGUGGUGAAAUGCGUAGAGAUGCGGAGGAACACCAGUGGCGAAAGCGGCUUUCUGGUCCUUAACUGACGCUGAGGCGCGAAAGCAUGGGGAGCGAACGGGAUUAGAAACCCCGGUAGUCCAUGCCGUAAACGAUGUUCACUAAACGUUCGUUUCCCGCGAGGGAAGUGGGUGUUGAAGCUAACGCAGUAAGUGAACCGCCUGGGGAGUACGGUCGCAAGGCUAAA